GAGAGAGAGAAAGAGAGAGAGCAAGAACACAGGAGGAAAGAAAGAGGGAGUCCUGACCGUUUUAGCUCAAAUGAAGCAACUGUGUGCCUUUGCACGAGAAGCAGCUUCUCCCCCAGCUCUGCAGUGCACGCAGAUACCGUAAAACACAGUUUCGUCUUUCGUACAGGAGAUUCAUCUUUUUUGAGAGACUGAUAUCAAACCUGCUGCAUGAGGAUCUCUGGGUCGUCCGGAACCACGUCUCCAUCCACCACGGGUCCGAAGGCGAUG